GAAACUCGAGCUAAUACCGCAUACGCCCUACGGGGGAAAGCGGAGGACCUUUCGGGGCUUCGCGCUAUUGGAUGAGCCUAAGCCGGAUUAGCUAGUUGGUAGGGUAAAAGCCUACCAAGGCGACGAUCCGUAGCUGGUCUGAGAGGACGAUCAGCCACACUGGGACUGAGACACGGCCCAGACUCCUACGGGAGGCAGCAGUGGGGAAUAUUGAACAAUGGGCGAAAGCCUGAUUCAGCAAUGCCGCGUGUGUGAAGAAGGCCUGCGGGUUGUAAAGCACUUUCAGUAGAGAAGAAAAGUUUAGGGUUAAUACCCCUGGAUCUUGACGUUACCUACAGAAGAAGCUCCGGCUAACUCCGUGCCAGCAGCCGCGGUAAUACGGAGGGAGCGAGCGUUAAUCGGAAUUACUGGGCGUAAAGCGCGCGUAGGCGGCUUUGUAAGUCGGAUGUGAAAGCCCUGGGCUCAACCUGGGAAUUGCAUUCGAUACUGCAGAGCUAGAGUAUGGUAGAGGGAAGUGGAAUUUCCGGUGUAGCGGUGAAAUGCGUA
rnacentral:rRNA from 1 species